AUGCAGUCGAGCGGAACGAUGAUAGCUUGCUAUCAGGCGUCGAGCGGCGGACGGGUGAGUAAUACUUAGGAAUCUACCUAGUAGUGGGGGAUAGCACGGGGAAACUCGUAUUAAUACCGCAUACGACCUACGGGAGAAAGGGGGCAGUUUACUGCUCUCGCUAUUAGAUGAGCCUAAGUCGGAUUAGCUAGAUGGUGGGGUAAAGGCCUACCAUGGCGACGAUCUGUAGCUGGUCUGAGAGGAUGAUCAGCCACACCGGGACUGAGACACGGCCCGGACUCCUACGGGAGGCAGCAGUGGGGAAUAUUGGACAAUGGGGGAAACCCUGAUCCAGCCAUGCCGCGUGUGUGAAGAAGGCCUUUUGGUUGUAAAGCACUUUAAGCAGUGAAGAAGACUCCGUGGUUAAUACCCACGGACGAUGACAUUAGCUGCAGAAUAAGCACCGGCUAACUCUGUGCCAGCAGCCGCGGUAAUACAGAGGGUGCAAGCGUUAAUCGGAAUUACUGGGCGUAAAGGGAGCGUAGGUGGCUCGAUAAGUCAGAUGUGAAAUCCCCGGGCUCAACCUGGGAACUGCAUCUGAUACUGUUGAGCUAGAGUAUGUGAGAGGAAGGUAGAAUUCCAGGUGUAGCGGUGAAAUGCGUAGAGAUCUGGAGGAAUACCGAUGGCGAAGGCAGCCUUCUGGCAUAAUACUGACACUGAGGCUCGAAAGCGUGGGUAGCAAACAGGAUUAGAUACCCUGGUAGUCCACGCCGUAAACGAUGUCUACUAGUCGUUGGGUCCCUUGAGGACUUAGUGACGCAGCUAACGCAAUAAGUAGACCGCCUGGGGAGUACGGCCGCAAGGUUAAAACUCAAAUGAAUUGACGGGGGCCCGCACAAGCGGUGGAGCAUGUGGUUUAAUUCGAUGCAACGCGAAGAACCUUACCUGGUCUUGACAUAUCUAGAAUCCUGCAGAGAUGCGGGAGUGCCUUCGGGAAUUAGAAUACAGGUGCUGCAUGGCUGUCGUCAGCUCGUGUCGUGAGAUGUUGGGUUAAGUCCCGCAACGAGCGCAACCCUUGUCCUUAGUUACCAGCGGGUUAAGCCGGGAACUCUAAGGAUACUGCCAGUGACAAACUGGAGGAAGGCGGGGACGACGUCAAGUCAUCAUGGCCCUUACGACCAGGGCUACACACGUGCUACAAUGGUAGGUACAGAGGGCAGCUACACAGCGAUGUGAUGCGAAUCUCAAAAAGCCUAUCGUAGUCCAGAUUGGAGUCUGCAACUCGACUCCAUGAAGUAGGAAUCGCUAGUAAUCGCGGAUCAGAAUGCCGCGGUGAAUACGUUCCCGGGCCUUGUACACACCGCCCGUCACACCAUGGGAGUUGAUUGCACCAGAAGUGGAUAGCUUAACCUUCGGGGGAGCG
rnacentral:rRNA from 1 species